GAUUUUUAUUCGUAUUAUUUUCCAGAUUUUUCUCAAAUGGAUUUUUAAAAAUUCAUAUUUCUAAAAGUAUUCAAUUUGAUAAGAAUCGGUCAACUGAUAUGAAUCCUCUGCCUCAGUUAUUGGCCGAAAAAUAUCGGCGAUGUUAAACUCCAUAAAAACUAAUUCAAUUAAUAUAUCUAAUUAUCUUCCGGAAUUUUUGACAUUUCAAACAAAUUUAUAAGCAGCCCUAAAUUUAAAUCUGCCAAUAUUUUUGAAAUUGGAAUAAUUUUAUAGCGAUAAACAUGCUAAUGGGGAUGAACAAAAAUACCAGCCUACCGGGAUUAUUGGAGCAUAAUGCCAGAUUUCCACGAUCAAUAUAUAGCCAAACUAAUGCUUGUAAAUAGGGUUGAAUGGCUGCUUAUCCAUACAAAUGAUAAUACUUUGACCUCUCAGAGCGAAUCUUUUGAUUUCGAUAAACAUGUCCGACCUUGUAAGACUAUGAUGCUGGCAGAAAUGAUAACUUAUGUGGCAGCUUAUUAGCAGAGCCCAGCUAUCCAACACCAUCUAAUAAAAACAAGUGCCUUUGAAGAUUAGGAGAUGUGACGCCUCACAUAGAAGAAGAUAUUCUCCUUGUUCAAUAGUUAUACUAGAACAUCGUUCUUAUUUGUGGCGCUAUAACUCUCUUAAAGUUGAAAUUGU